UGAUGCGCGGUGCACGGUUGGCUGUGAACCGAUUUCUGUCUCAAACCCCAUCAA
rnacentral:tRNA from 1 species